GCGAAGUGCCGAUAAAAGUUGCGAACAUGCAGCUCUUUGCCAAUCAUCGAGCCUUCGAACACGACAGG
rnacentral:rRNA from 9 species